rnacentral:rRNA from 1 species
GAUCCUGGCUCAGGACGGACGCUGGCGGCGUGCUUAACACAUGCAAGUCGAACGAAGAGCGAUGGAAGCUUGCUUCUAUCAAUCUUAGUGGCGAACGGGUGAGUAACGCGUAAUCAACCUGCCCUUCAGAGGGGGGACAACAGUUGGAAACGACUGCUAAUACCGCAUACGAUCCAAUCUCGGCAUCGAGACUGGAUGAAAGGUGGCCUCUAUUUAUAAGCUAUCACUGAAGGAGGGG